GGGUUGUGAGGUUAAGCGACUAAGCGUACACGGUGGAUGCCCUGGCAGUCAGAGGCGAUGAAGGGCGUGCUAAUCUGCGAUAAGCGC
rnacentral:rRNA from 2 species